UACAGCUCAGUGGUAGAGUGUGUGCUUAGCUUGCACGAGGUCAUGGGUUCAAUCCCCAUUA
rnacentral:tRNA from 1 species